rnacentral:rRNA from 1 species
AGCGAACGCUGGCGGCAGGCCUAACACAUGCAAGUCGAACGAAGUCUUCGGGUCUAGUGGCGCACGGGUGCGUAACGCGUGGGAAUCUGCCCUUUGCUACGGAAUAACUCAGAGAAAUUUGUGCUAAUACCGUAUAAUGUCGAAAGACCAAAGAUUUAUCGGCAAAGGAUGAGCCCGCGUAGGAUUAGCUAGUUGGUGAGGUAAAGGCUCACCAAGGCGACGAUCCUUAGCUGGUCUGAGAGGAUGAUCAGCCACACUGGGACUGAGACACGGCCCAGACUCCUACGGGAGGCAGCAGUGGGGAAUAUUGGACAAUGGGCGAAAGCCUGAUCCAGCAAUGCCGCGUGAGUGAUGAAGGCCUUAGGGUUGUAAAGCUCUUUUACCAGGGAUGAUAAUGACAGUACCUGGAGAAUAAGCUCCGGCUAACUCCGUGCCAGCAGCCGCCGUAAGAC